GGAAUUGCAUUAUCUAAUUACAAUUAUGUUACAAUUAAAACAGAUUAUAUGUAAAUUUUAAACUGUGCAUAAAAUUAUAGUUCCUGUUCCUAUCCGAAUCUCAAUAUCGUUUCUUUCAAUUCUGCAAAUUUCGUCUUGAUAGUUCGUCUGUAUGGAUUGCUGCUUUCUCCCCUCACUUGAUGGAAAAAUACUUCUCUGACUCCAGAUCUCAUGUCUCACCUAAUUGAUAUGUCUUCUCCCGUCUCUUUCUGUUCGAUGAUACAAUUGGCCUUGUGUAAGAUGGAACUGCUGUCUCACACUUAGUUGUCUUUUGCAGUGUUGCUUUCAGUCUCGAUGCUGAUGUGUUUGGUCGGCCAGUAUAGUCAUACUUUUUCGAUUGUAACGAACUGGUGUGUUCAAUAUAUUAUUAUUAUUAAAAUUACCUAAAUUAGUGAGAUUUAUUAUCGUUCUGCAUGCUCCCAAUAUAGGGCUUUUCAGAAUGCAUUUCCAAAUCACAACUGAUGUUUAAUUAACUUAAAAACUAUUACUCUCUAUAAACUAAUUACUCCGCCUUAGAUCGGUGUGAUAUCCUGCAUAUCUGUAUCCAAGGAGGAGCAUUGGAUAGCAAAACAAAGUCACGAGUUCGAUUCCCAUCGCGGUCAAGCAAACUUUUCAGGUUGCCCGAUGUGGACACACUCCGAGACAACAUCACCGACAUAAUUAUUUUAAUUUUUGUAUGUUUAAAAUUGUGUAUACACAUGAGAACUAUCAAUAAAAAAACCCAUUGAAUAAACCGUUGUGUAUGUAAUCAGUUUUGUCAGAAUGGAAUGAAGCCAUUGGCAGCCAACUGUACACAUUGGAGUACUUUCAUUACUUAAAGGAAACUGGUAGCAUUUUCGAUUUUUUAAAAUAAAUAUAGAAUAUUCACUUGAAGUUUCUUAGUGUGCAUUAUUGACUAACAUUCUGUAAAACUUCACCAUUUUACUGUGUAUAGAGCCACUAGUUUAUCAGUUUUACUUAUAUUACUGUCAAAGUGUUGCCCUCUUCAAAUAAAGUCGCAAACCAAACUGUGUGAUAUACUGCUUGGGCUUCGAGCAGUUUCAGAUUUUCACCUCAGAGCUUAAAAGUAAAACUUCAGUCAACUAAUGUUGUCAACUAAAACCAUAUCUGAUUAAAACCAAACUCUUGUUUUGUAAUGAUUAUUUCUUCGUUUCUUUCUACCUCGUACACUGCUUUAUUUUCCGU